rnacentral:rRNA from 1 species
GGGUUGUGAGGUUAAGCGACUAAGCGUACACGGUGGAUGCCCUGGCAGUCAGAGGCGAUGAAGGACGUGCUAAUCUGCGAAAAGCGUCGGUAAGGUGAUAUGAACCGUUAUAACCGGCGAUGUCCGAAUGGGGAAACCCAGUGCAAUUCGUUGCACUAUCGUUAACUGAAUACAUAGGUUAACGAGGCGAACCGGGGGAACUGAAACAUCUAAGUACCCCGAGGAAAAGAAAUCAACCGAGAUUCCCCCAGUAGCGGCGAGCGAACGGGGAGCAGCCCAGAGUCUGAAUCAGCUUGUGUGUUAGUGGAACGGUCUGGAAAGUCCGACGGUACAGGGUGAUAGUCCCGUACACCAAAAUGCACAGGUUGUGAACUCGAAGAGUAGGGCGGGACACGUGGUAUCCUGUCUGAAUAUGGGGGGACCAUCCUCCAAGGCUAAAUACUCCUGACUGACCGAUAGUGAACCAGUACCGUGAGGGAAAGGCGAAAAGAACCCCGGCGAGGGGAGUGAAAAAGAACCUGAAACCGUGUACGUACAAGCAGUGGGAGCACCUUCGGGUGUGACUGCGUACCUUUUGUAUAAUGGGUCAGCGACUUAUAUUCUGUAGCAAGGUUAACCGUAUAGGGGAGCCGCAGGGAAACCGAGUCUUAACUGGGCGUUAAGUUGCAGGGUAUAGACCCGAAACCCGGUGAUCUAGCCAUGGGCAGGUUGAAGGUUGGGUAACACUAACUGGAGGACCGAACCGACUAAUGUUGAAAAAUUAGCGGAUGACUUGUGGCUGGGGGUGAAAGGCCAAUCAAACCGGGAGAUAGCUGGUUCUCCCCGAAAGCUAUUUAGGUAGCGCCUCGUGAAUUCAUCUUCGGGGGUAGAGCACUGUUUCGGCUAGGGGGUCAUCCCGACUUACCAACCCGAUGCAAACUACGAAUACCGAAGAAUGUUAUCACGGGAGACACACGGCGGGUGCUAACGUCCGUCGUGAAGAGGGAAACAACCCAGACCGCCAGCUAAGGUCCCAAAGUCAUGGUUAAGUGGGAAACGAUGUGGGAAGGCACAGACAGCCAGGAUGUUGGCUUAGAAGCAGCCAUCAUUUAAAGAAAGCGUAAUAGCUCACUGGUCGAGUCGGCCUGCGCGGAAGAUGUAACGGGGCUAAACCAUGCACCGAAGCUGCGGCAGCGACACUAUGUGUUGUUGGGUAGGGGAGCGUUCUGUAAGCCUGCGAAGGUGUCCUGUGAGGGUUGCUGGAGGUAUCAGAAGUGCGAAUGCUGACAUAAGUAACGAUAAAGCGGGUGAAAAGCCCGCUCGCCGGAAGACCAAGGGUUCCUGUCCAACGUUAAUCGGGGCAGGGUGAGUCGACCCCUAAGGCGAGGCCGAAAGGCGUAGUCGAUGGGAAACAGGUUAAUAUUCCUGUACUUGGUGUUACUGCGAAGGGGGGACGGAGAAGGCUAUGUUAGCCGGGCGACGGUUGUCCCGGUUUAAGCAUGUAGGCNNNNNNNNNNNNNNNNNNNNNNNNNNNNNNNNNNNNNNNNNNACUACGGUGCUGAAGUAACAAAUGCCCUGCUUCCAGGAAAAGCCUCUAAGCAUCAGGUAACAUCAAAUCGUACCCCAAACCGACACAGGUGGUCAGGUAGAGAAUACCAAGGCGCUUGAGAGAACUCGGGUGAAGGAACUAGGCAAAAUGGUGCCGUAACUUCGGGAGAAGGCACGCUGGUGUGUAGGUGAAGUCCCUGCGGAUGGAGCUGAGACCAGUCGAAGAUACCAGCUGGCUGCAACUGUUUAUUAAAAACACAGCACUGUGCAAACACGAAAGUGGACGUAUACGGUGUGACGCCUGCCCGGUGCCGGAAGGUUAAUUGAUGGGGUUAUCCGUAAGGAGAAGCUCUUGAUCGAAGCCCCGGUAAACGGCGGCCGUAACUAUAACGGUCCUAAGGUAGCGAAAUUCCUUGUCGGGUAAGUUCCGACCUGCACGAAUGGCGUAAUGAUGGCCAGGCUGUCUCCACCCGAGACUCAGUGAAAUUGAACUCGCUGUGAAGAUGCAGUGUACCCGCGGCAAGACGGAAAGACCCCGUGAACCUUUACUAUAGCUUGACACUGAACAUUGAGCCUUGAUGUGUAGGAUAGGUGGGAGGCUUUGAAGCGUGGACGCCAGUCUGCGUGGAGCCAACCUUGAAAUACCACCCUUUAAUGUUUGAUGUUCUAACGUUGGCCCCUGACCGGGGUUGCGGACAGUGUCUGGUGGGUAGUUUGACUGGGGCGGUCUCCUCCCAAAGCGUAACGGAGGAGCACGAAGGUUAGCUAAUCCUGGUCGGACAUCAGGAGGUUAGUGCAAUGGCAUAAGCUAGCUUGACUGCGAGCGUGACGGCGCGAGCAGGUGCGAAAGCAGGUCAUAGUGAUCCGGUGGUUCUGAAUGGAAGGGCCAUCGCUCAACGGAUAAAAGGUACUCCGGGGAUAACAGGCUGAUACCGCCCAAGAGUUCAUAUCGACGGCGGUGUUUGGCACCUCGAUGUCGGCUCAUCACAUCCUGGGGCUGAAGUAGGUCCCAAGGGUAUGGCUGUUCGCCAUUUAAAGUGGUACGCGAGCUGGGUUUAGAACGUCGUGAGACAGUUCGGUCCCUAUCUGCCGUGGGCGCUGGAGAAUUGAGGGGGGCUGCUCCUAGUACGAGAGGACCGGAGUGGACGCAUCACUGGUGUUCGGGUUGUCAUGCCAAUGGCACUGCCCGGUAGCUAAAUGCGGAAGAGAUAAGUGCUGAAAGCAUCUAAGCACGAAACUUGCCCCGAGAUGAGUUCUCCCUGAGACUUUAAGUCUCCUGAAGGAACGUUAAAGACGAUGACGUUGAUAGGCCGGGUGUGUAAGCGCAGCGAUGCGUUGAGCUAACCGGUACUAAUGAACCGUGAGGCUUAACCUUACAACGCCGAAG